rnacentral:tRNA from 11 species
CUACCCAUAGCUCAAUUUGGGAGAGCAUUUACCUUCUAAGUAAGAGGUUGUAGGUUCAAAUCCUAUUGGGUAAA